ensembl:lncRNA
GUUAUGCAAAGAAAAUUGAUUAACAGAGACACAGGCUCACAUUCUCUGGUGUUGUGGAAAGUGAAUGAAGAGCCCUUCCAUAAGUUCUCCAGUCUUCCUCACAGCACCCUUCUCUGCCUUACAGCAGUGAGCUCCAGCCACAUCGUGUCCUGUGCUCACCACCACCUCCACUAACUCCUAGGAGGUGGAAGUCCUCAAGAUCAACAAGAUAUAUGUUCGACUACUGAGUUACAUCUCCAGCUCUUACUGUGAUAUCUUGAUAUAUGGGUACAUUGUGGACUUGGUGAACCAAAUUAAUUAAUGAGUGCAUAAUGUCUUGUGGUCAUCAUGUUUAUGGUGAGAUGGAUAAGGG